CGACUCAGAUGAAAGGGGUAACGGAACUCAUAAGAGUGGUAGAAAUGUCGGGCUUAAAGCGUAUGUCGUUUGUCAGUUGCUGCAGAUCGAAUCUCCCAAGACUUCAAAAUGGGUUGACCCUGAUUCUGCAGACAAAGCGUAACCGGUCUGACAUUCAAGAGGUGUAUUACAGUGAAGAGACACAUAAGUUUUCAGUGUCAGCAAUAGAGGAAAGUGUGAAGUUAGAAGGAAGAAUGACUUUUCCUCUUUGGACAGCACUUACAUAGUUUGAUCAUGUGUUCUUCUGUGAACGGCUUUAUGAUCCCGAUAAGGGAUCUCUCAAGCAGCUGCCUGUUAACAUUAAGCUUAGUCCCCCGAAAGAAAACUUUGUCAACGAGGCUGCAAUCAGAAAGAGAAAAGGGAGGUCUAAAGAUGGAGAAAGUGAUAUUGAUACGGCC